GGGAAUCAGAGUGUUAUGGCAGAGCAACAAUAUGAGAUGAUCCAGCGAUCAUUCAACUGAAGAAGAUUGUGGAGGCCUUGAGGAGGACACUUAAGGAACGAUUGUGGACAGUGUAAAGAUAUAUGGAGAUGAGUGGAGAAUGUCGCGAAGAUGAGCAAUUGCGCAACUAAGAAUUCGAGGACGAAUUCUAUUAAAGGGAGGGGGGAGAAUGUAGAAACCCGUUAAAAAAGAGAAGAAUGGUCGAGUAUCACUGUGGUGGUCGAGUUGCGGGUGAUAAGGAUCGAUCGAGAAGUUUUGA
rnacentral:lncRNA from 1 species